AGGAUUUUUAAAACAUUUAAUUGAUUAAUUUGUACAUGAAUAUAUUACAUUAGAGCAUUUGGGAAGAGUGCUCAUUGUUGGUGAGUGGGAGGGUGUUGGGCCUAGUUCAGGCAGUGUAGCAAACCACACAAUUAUUUAAAUCCUUCCUUCUAUUUAAUUGUAGACUGGUAAGCUGCUCUCCCUUAACGUGUUUUGUAUCCUAUGUUAUUUUUUAGUGUUUAUCAUUGUAUACAUUUAAUAUAUUUGACGAUGUUUCUUCUUUCUUACUCAGGAAACUCAUGUCUCACUGAGUCUAUGGUUGUCACAUGGCCAGAUCUGUAUGAUAUCAUGGCUGUAGGAUAGGGUUCUCCAAGUCUGUCACUUUGGACUUGCUUCAAUGAAGAAAUGUUUGGGAGGGUCAUACCAAUUGGGGAACUGACAAAAUCAAUGGUGGGUUUUAUAUUUCUCUUUACUUUCAGUCAGUAGGUUCAGCUGCAAUCAUUUCAAUGUACAAUAAUCAAAAGAUAAAGUUAACUGUACACGCUAGUGUGAAACCAGUGGUUUCACGGGCCUGAACUGUGAUAAUGCCCAUUGUUUUCUAGAUAUGGUAUGACAUUAACAAGAAAGUUAAGAAAGUCUGUUCUCUAUAAGUAAACAAUGAUAAUAGUUGAUUGAAUGUGAUAAGCAAUGAUAAGGGAUGAAUAAAUAUGUAAAUCAAAUUUGUAUUACUCAGCAAAUAAACACAGAAUUAUUUUAUGGUAUAGGAACAGGAAAUAUUGCUAGAGGGACAGGGGAUGUAACUUGGAUUCUUCUGCUAUCUGUUUGCUUCAUAUUUUACUGAAACCCACACUUUAAAAUUCAGCCUGUGUGUUGCCUUUAAGGCAUUUGUUUAGUUUAUUAUAUCUUUGCAUUAGUAAUUCGUUUGUUAUUGUUUUCUAGUUAAAGUUAAGGUUGUUUAAAGUAAAUUCGUUGUCUGUGAUAUAUCGUGGCAUGCGAUGACGUCACACCCGGUUACGCCGUAUCUUGUGGGAAAAUACUAGUUUGGAGAAACGGGAAUGAGGGGGCUUGUGUGUACAGGAUCAGCGCGAGAGAAGUUUUCUUUCUACACAUUAGAAACAUCAGAGAAACAAUGCCGAGAGAGAGAGAGCCUGCAGUACAUCGAAUAAUCAAGUGAACAAUGUAGUCUUCGGGUCCAUGCCUUCAAGUUCAUCACAUUCAUCCAUACCUGCCCAAAGAGUCCACUGCAGCCCAAAACGUGAUUCAAAAGAUUGGAUGAAUAAAAAGCUGCAGACACUGCCAAGACGAGAGAAGGCCACUUUCAGCCCA